GAUGAACGCUGGCGGCGUGCCUAAUACAUGCAAGUCGAGCGAACAGACGAGGAGCUUGCUCCUCUGACAUUAGCGGCGGACGGGUGAGUAACACGUGGAUAACCUACCUAUAAGACUGGGAUAACUUCGGGAAACCGGAGCUAAUACCGGAUAAUAUAUUGAACCGCAUGGUUCAAUAGUUAAAGACGGUUUUCCUGUCACUUAUAGAUGGAUCCGCGCCGAAUUAGCUAGUUGGUAAGGUAACGGCUUACCAAGGCAACGAUGCGUAGCCGACCUGAGAGGGUGAUCGGCCACACUGGAACUGAGACACGGUCCAGACUCCUACGGGAGGCAGCAGUAGGGAAUCUUCCGCAAUGGGCGAAAGCUUGACGGAGCAACGCCGCGUGAGUGAUGAGGGUCUUCGGAUCGUAAAACUCUGUUAUUAGGGAAGAACAAAUGUGUAAGUAACUAUGCACGUCUUGACGGUACCUAAUCAGAAAGCCACGGCUAACUACGUG
rnacentral:rRNA from 1 species